GGUGAGAUGGCCGAGUUGGUACGUUCAUCGCCUAUCUGUACAAUUCUGGUACUAACUUCCAAAGGUUAUGGCGCCAGGUUAAGGUCUUCUUAACAUCAUUUCCUGGUCACGAAAGUGGCGUGGGUUCGAGUCCCACUCUCAUCA